AAAAUUCUUGGCAUCCAUCAGAAUAUCUAAGCAUAGCAGAAGAACAAGAGAAGCACAAAGGCAACAAACUAUUUACACUAUAUUGAUGUAAAAGUUAAUCCUGGUGUCCAUAACAAAAUUACUAGCUAAUGAGACAUGAAGAGAAGUCCCCACAAUAGGAAAUUUUAUCUCAAAAUUGAAGCAGCAAUGAAAACAUAAAAUUACACCUUAUAGGUAAAAUCAAACAUGUGCUGCAUGGAGAAAGAGAGAGAAAAUGCCAAAAUCGUAAAGCAGUAAGUACAUUUAUCACAUUAUGCAGUCUGUUGUUCCCGACCUCAAGCACACUACCUCCCCACAUAUGAACAUUGUACAAAGACUGUCUUCCCUCAUAUCAUGAGAUACCAUCUUCCCUUGUAUCGACCUGUAUUUGAAAGAUGCCAGUGCCAAGCAAUAGUUGCUUUGAUUCCAUCAUUGACAUGAUACUGAACUUCCUAAAACAAAGAUAAAGGAUACAAGGAUAGCUACUGAGUUCC
rnacentral:lncRNA from 1 species